CUGAUAAUUAAAAUCAACACCUAAGAGAUUAUCCAUGACACCUGAUCUUAACCCUGACUUCAGCCAAACAACACGAACACUAGCAUUCUGGGCUCUCAAUAUGAUGCUCAACUUUCAGGCAGUGAACCAGUGAACCAGUGAACCAGUGAACCAGUCAUGCCUUGAUUGUCACACUGCAUAAGCAUGAACCUGAUGGCUUUAUCUCAGAAGUCUGCCAUUCUGAGCCUGGGGCUGCAUCCGGGUCAUACAACAGGGUGCGAUAGCCAGGAUCCUC
rnacentral:lncRNA from 1 species